UACGGGGGGAGCAAGCGUUGUUCGGAUUUACUGGGCGUAAAGGGCGCGUAGGCGGCCACCGCAAGUCGGUUGUGAAAUCUCCGGGCUUAACCCGGAAAGGUCAACCGAUACUGCGGGGCUAGAGUGCAGAAGGGGCAACUGGAAUUCUCGGUGUAGCGGUGAAAUGCGCAGAUAUCAGGAGGAACACCGGUGGCGAAGGCGGGUCUCUGGGCCGAUACUGACGCUGAGGAGCGAAAGCGUGGGGAGCGAACAGG
rnacentral:rRNA from 1 species